UGUUUUUAGGAAGAUUGCAAGUGUGUAAAUUCUGAAAAUGGUCAAUGUCAUCACUGUGGAACCUAUUUGUGAAGAAAUGGAAGGUUCAUCGAAAAAAUAAAACUGCUUUGGAGACCAUGGGUCGGCGUUGUGUCAGCAGAAACCAAGCAUUAGCUCUCAUGCAAUGCAUUGAAUAUUUAACUCAGAAUAUAUCAACCCUCGGCUUGUUCAUUACCCCCGGGAACCCGCGACAUUUAUUCAAGAUCCUCCGAAAAAUUGAAAUAGGAGAUGUCAAACUAAUUAAUUAUCUAACGGAAACAUCAGCUCCAAGAGAGUGUGCUAUAGCCUUCAACCGAUUCAUUAGAUCUCACAAAAUUUCCAUUCUUCCAGAGAGAGCUACGAAGUUACUUUGCGCUAGUAACGACGAAAUCCCCAGACGACUGAUAGCUCUGGACGUCCUAAAUCUGAUACACCACGAAUCCGACGGUAUAAGGCUGCAACUUGCCAAAGCGUAUCUCCAAAUGAUGCAACAACUCACACUCAGGGGCUAUAUAACACCGACCGAAAUUCGUAUUGCUAUCGGUCCUUAUCUGGCUUUUCCAGCGUUGUUUCCAGGGAAAAAUUGUAUGCAGCAUAUCGCUGCUAAAUCCGGCACUCUGUUGGAAUUACUCUUGAAUGUCCACCUGUUGGACGAUGCGCAGAUGCUUUCGACGGAACUACAAGAGGAGACCAGCAGGUUACACCGUCGACAGGAAGAGUUUGCUAACAGCUCAGAGAAUUGAUAAUAACUAAAGAGCAGGUAACAUCUUUCAAAAUUCGACCAAAUUUAAUUCAUUUGUUCAGCCUUUCAAUAAAUAAUACCUGUCGAAAAGAUCAUUGUCAUGCUUGCUUAAGACACUACGUGAUUUUUGGACAAGAAAUUAUAUAAUGGAACUGAUUCGAGCACAACGUUAGAUUCCACCCGAUUUGUUUUUGAAAAGAAAUUUAAAAAAUAUUUAACAGUCAUUUUAAUGUGAAUAUAAAAUUAUAUUCGACAAAAAUUAUUUGUCUGCAAAACAUGAAAUACUUAACCAGGCUCAAAAGUAUUUCAUAUUUGGACAUUCCAAUUAAUUAAUCAUCAAGCAACGCGAAAAUUACGCAUCGAAUAGCUGAAUACCAUCUAUACUUACGGAUUCCCUCAAUGAUACACACUUAAAAAUGGGACAAAUGAUUCAGAAAGUUCAUUGCGGAUCCAUCCAUUAUAUCGCAAGCAGUUGAUGUACGAAGGUGCCAAGUGAAAGCUCAACACCAAACUAUGUGUGGCAGAUUGUGCUGUAGAUGGAGGAGUUACAACAUGGAUAACCUACCAAGUGAAGUGGCCCAUGGACCGAGCUCGACGGAACAAACUGGGGACAGUAAGAUCAAAACAAUAAUAAGUGUCCAACCCGCUCCCAAAUCAGUACAGCAAAAUUGCCCACCUCCUGAUCACAAUCAUGUCCACCAGCGGUUCUGAAGGAAAAGAAAUGAGGAUAAUACAAUAACCUGAGGUGCUAUAAAUCAUAGUAUGCCUUGUUUACGGAUAGCGAUAAGUAUAUGUAUAAUCUCAACCAAAAUUAAUUAGGGGAAAAACUUUGAUCUACACCAGAAAACAUCAAUCAAAAAUGGCCAUAAAGACUUGUUUUAGACAAAACAGACGUCAUAAAUUGGAAGGUGCCAAGAAGAAACGUAGAAAAUCUGUAUCGAAAUCUGCAUCAACCCUUAGCGGAAGUUCGUAUGCUGUCAGCCACCACAGAAAAGAAACAUACUGAUGUUAUGAUUUAUGCAACAAUGUAUUAGUUUACACUAUUUGUAAAUGAAUUUUAAUGUCUUGUGAACUUAUUCAACAAACAAAACGGUGCUACUAUGAAUAAUAGAUAACGGUACUCAAUAUAAACAAAAGUUGUCAGCCAUCCCAAGGAAAGGAUUAAUGGAAAACUCCAUAUAUUGCGGCACUGUGGAAGAAGAACUAUAGCAAAUAUUUUCUAAACAUAAACAUUGAAACAUUGGUUAGUAAAAACUUAUCAAAAGUUACAAAAAAAUAAAGGAAUCUUGUUCAUCUUUCAUAAACUCACAAAGUUAUACAUCGCUGCUUUGUCAUGUAAAAAAAAUGCGACUAGUACGACACGCAUGUCGAAAUUUAAUACGACCGCAAAGGCAUAUGAAUAAAAUUGGUGACUUGGAAAAAAUAUUAUAGAGAUCAAGCCAUAACUAACAUUGGAUCGUGAUUUUGAAAAAUCUGUAAAUCUAUAUAAAAACCACAAAAAUCUGUUAUCUGUAUCUACAGAUUCUUGGUUUCAAAAAGUCUGAAAAAUCUGUAUAAAUGCAGAUUAUUCUGUAGAUAUGGUAACCCUGCUCCGGAGUCGAUAACUUUUGGUCACGUGAAGUCACGACUUCAAAUCACACCUAAAUAACAAACAACGACUUCAAAUUACACAUAAAUGACAAAAUUUCUUAAAUGAACAAACACUGACCGCAAAUGUCAUUUUUACGCAAUGCUGCGCAUUAGUAGAAGUGAUCGCUUCAUACAUAGCUGACUGUGUUUGCCCUGUCGCACUUGAAGAUGCAAGUGUCUCAAUGACGUUCAGACGAAAGGUUAGAACCCGGUUGUCAUUACUUCUCAUUUCGUAGUGUUGUGUUGCGUUCGGGUUUUUUUUUUUGGUGUAGCCAGGGUUGCCAAUAAUAUUUUUCAAAAAACUGGAAGAUUGCUGUUAAAAAACUGGAAGAUUGCUCUUAAAAAAACUGGAAGAAAACUGGAUCUGUAAAACCGUUUUAAUUUAGGAAGAUCGGCUAUGAUUCAUCGGAAAUGAUACACUAUGGUACAUAUGCAUUUUAUGCAAAGUAUACAUUAGCUUUUUAGGGCAGUUUAGAUUAUGCAUGAAAUUAAUUAUAUUUAGAUCUAAAGUUCCUUUGAAUGACCAUGAGAAACUUAUAUCCAUUUGAUUUAAACGGAAGCAAGGUUUUAUAUUCAAAUCAAUUGGAAUCAAUGGAGACCAUUUACCCUAUGACCUUCUGAACUUUAGAACGAUUUGGAGGAUCUGUAACAUCUGAUGUUUAUAUAAAUUCAAAGCCAGCAUAGCACGCGGGCUCUAUGAACUAUAAGGUAAGUUUUCUAGAUAUGAACAUUGUACCAGUCGUGGUAGAUCAGUUGGUCUGAACUUCAGAAUGGUUUGGAGGACCUAGAACAUUUAUGAUAUUUGUAUGAAUUAGAACACAGUAUAGCACGUUUCUACUUGGGUAUGCUGUUAAAUAAGAUCAAAAUUGUGUGAUACCCUGUUUUUAAAGUACAGUGGAACCCCGAUUUUCGCGACAGCGAGCUCCAUAGUAAAUCUAUAUUCCUUCCCGAAAUUUGCCAGUGAGUGCCAGCGAGACUCUGCUCUUUUCUCUCGGUCAGAUCUGACCACUGGUGUACAUGACCUUGUUGGUUGAUAGUUUGAUGAUUUCUGUAUUGAAAUGACAUAAUUUACGUGCUGAAAUAUCUUUUUUUAUGUUUACAUUUUAGUCCUUCAUUUCGUUGUCCGCGAUUUUCGUUACACGCGGUGACCUUGCCAGACUAUUCCGCGGAUAAUCGGGGUUCUACUGUAGCUUGAUAUGUUUACAUGUAGAACAAGAAGAAUACCCUUACGCCUAAAUGGCUACUACUGUGUAAUUUACCAUAAUGUAAUGGAUCCGGAAACCUAACGCCUAAAUGGCUAUUAAAGGGUGUGUCACAUCAAAUUGCAUCACGGAAAAAACGCUGUAGAAAUUCGCCCAGUAGACCGAUCCUUU